GAUGAAGAACGCAGCGAAAUGCGAUACUUGGUGUGAAUUGCAGAAUCCCGUGAACCAUCGAGUCUUUGAACGCAAGUUGCGCCCGAAGCCACUAGGCCGAGGGCACGCCUGCCUGGGCGUCACACGCCGUUGCCCCCCCAUCUACUCCUUCGGGAUUGCGGGGGGGCGGAUGAUGGCCUCCUGUGCGCCUAGCCGCGCGGUUGGCAUAAAUACCAAGUCCUCGGCGACGCACGCCACGACAAUCGGUGGUUGCGAAACCUCGUUUGCCCGUCGUGUGCGUUCGUCGCGCAUCGAGGGCUCGAAAAAAUGCUCGGCUCCGGCUGGGCUUUCAACGCGACCCCAGGUCAGGCGGGGUUACCCGCUGAAUUUAAGCAUAUCAAUAAGCGGAGGA
rnacentral:misc_RNA from 1 species